rnacentral:rRNA from 1 species
ACAAGCCCUGGAAACGGGGUCUAAUACCGGAUAACACUCUGUCCCUCAUGGGGCGGGGUUAAAAGCUCCGGCGGUGAAGGAUGAGCCCGCGGCCUAUCAGCUUGUUGGUGGGGUAAUGGCCUACCAAGGCGACGACGGGUAGCCGGCCUGAGAGGGCGACCGGCCACACUGGGACUGAGACACGGCCCAGACUCCUACGGGAGGCAGCAGUGGGGAAUAUUGCACAAUGGGCGAAAGCCUGAUGCAGCGACGCCGCGUGAGGGAUGACGGCCUUCGGGUUGUAAACCUCUUUCAGCAGGGAAGAAGCGAAAGUGACGGUACCUGCAGAAGAAGCGCCGGCUAACUACGUGCCAGCAGCCGCGGUAAUACGUAGGGCGCAAGCGUUGUCCGGAAUUAUUGGGCGUAAAGAGCUCGUAGGCGGCUUGUCACGUCGGAUGUGAAAGCUCGGGGCUUAACCCCGAGUCUGCAUUCGAUACGGGCUAGCUAGAGUGUGGUAGGGGAGAUCGGAAUUCCUGGUGUAGCGGUGAAAUGCGCAGAUAUCAGGAGGAACACCGGUGGCGAAGGCGGAUCUCUGGGCCAUUACUGACGCUGAGGAGCGAAAGCGUGGGGAGCGAACAGGAUUAGAUACCCUGGUAGUCCACGCCGUAAACGUUGGGAACUAGGUGUUGGCGACAUUCCACGUCGUCGGUGCCGCAGCUAACGCAUUAAGUUCCCCGCCUGGGGAGUACGGCCGCAAGGCUAAAACUCAAAGGAAUUGACGGGG